rnacentral:lncRNA from 1 species
GCUGAGAGUCAUGUGAUGGCGCUGCCCCAGAGUCUGUAAUGAAGCCGGUGGCUUGCGGUAAAACCCGGAUUUGAAGAAGCCGCGAGCUUCCAGAGGGCAGGGCGCGUUCGGUCCCUUGCCUAGGAAAGGACCCGACGAAUGUGUCACGCGACUUCCCCUCGGACGCAGAGACGCUCCAAACGCUAUUCAGGGUUGGGUCGCUGAGCCCGGCAGAGCCCCUGCCUAGGCUGCCUUCGGCCCUGUCGUACCUGGGGGGAGGGUAGGCCCGUGUCCGCUCGGUGUGGCCGCCUUGUUACCUCUGCGACAGCGGUGAGGGCUCACAGGUGACUGCGGGGCCCCAGCCGAGGAGAGACGGUGGGGACGCACAGCCUGGAAGUGGGGAAUCGGGUGGACCAGCACCUUCUGAAGCCAGGUGGAGCCCACUUCCGUGCACAGCGAGUCACUGUUUCCUACGCAAGCUUUGGUGGCCCUGGACGACCACCCCUGUGCGUCCCAGGCUCCCAUGCCCCGUCGGCAGAAAUGCCAGGCCCCUUAAGCUUCUUGCACCAGAGCCAGCAAAAGAAGUGCAGGAGAGAGGAAUCAGGAAGCCAUAAGCGUGGGAGGAAGAGAAAUGGGCCCGGGCCUAAAAAGAAAUGGCUGUCCACAUUAGAUAAAAGAGGCAGAAAUCCCUGCCUUCACAGAACCUGCCUUUAGUGUCUGGAGAUGAGAAGCAAGAUGAAUAAAACCCACUCUUGGGCCAAGGAGGUAGAUCAGUGGUAGGGCACUUGCCUGAUAUUCGCAGGGCCCUGGGUUCAAUCUCUAGUGCCAAGGAAAUCAAAACAAAAACCCUGUAAUAUCUUGGAACGUAGUGGUACAGAGAAAAACUAAACCUAGGGACCUGUAGGAAGGGUGUGAGGAUGGGUGUCCUUUAUGUAGGGCCUUCUUAUGGGGCUGGGGAUGGAGGUCAGUCGUACAGUGUCUGCCUAGCAAGUACGAGACCCUAGGCUCGAUCCCAGUACUGCCAAAAAAAAGAACAGAGGUGAGGGACAGUACUGCCAGCAGAGGGCGUGGCAGGUGCCCAGGGCCCUGGGCUGGGAAAGACCUGCAGGGCAGUGAGCGUGGGCGAUGCUAGCGGGUUGCCACCAAAGGAGGCCAUGGCAGGGUCCGCAAAGGGGCGUGGUCAGCCCUACUUGGUAACCGGCACCGUGUGCUGUUGGCCAGAGCACUGAGGACAGUGAGUGGACCACUUCGAUCAUGCACUUAGGAGGUGAGGGUAACCUGAACCCCAGUGGUGGCCGUGCAGAGAGAAGCAGUCAGAUCGCAGAGGCAUCCUGAAGGGAGGAUUACAGAGCUGUCUGGUUGGCUGGAAGCCUGUCUUCCCCUUCGUAGGGUCACCUCCACCUCAUUUCCGCUUCAAGCAUCCAGUCCACAGAGGGACAAGAGCUCAAUCUCAGCCCAUCUGGGAUCCCCUGCAGUGGCUGCUGCCAUGUCAUGGGGGGUGGGGAAUCUGGUCCCCUGUACUCCUGUCACCUAUGCUGGCACCCGCAGAGUCUGACCUCAGCACACACAGCAUGUCCUGCUGAAAUGGCACUGGAGGGCAGGCAGACCAAGGAAGAGAGCGGCACUCAGAGAACUGAAGGGUAAGCAGGUUUAUUAUUGCGAACAGGCCCAGCGAAGUCCCCUUCCAGGGCCUGAACCCCUUUUCUACAUUUGUCCUCAUAUUUAUCUGUUCUUCAGCCAGGGGAGGGGAGCAAGCAGGAAUUUACAGGAGCAGAACUUAGCACAAGGCAGGGAGGUGGAGGUGACAUUACUUUUUUAACUUUUCUUACAGUUUAUCUUAAAGACAUAGGGAGAUAGGGAGGUACAGGCUGGUGUUGUCUCAGCAAUUCAUCUGGGCACCGUGACCUUUGUGGGUCUAGCAAGAGGGCCGAGCCUUGAGACCCAUCAGCCUCGAGACUCAGCCUCUCUCCAGCCUUGAGACCAUCGGCCUCUGGUUUGUCCUUUGUUCCUUUCCAUUUCACAGCUUCACAUCUGUCUGAGCCCGCUUUGGAGGCAAGCAACUACCCCGCUGCUCUGAAAUUGCCAGGUGGUCUCCUCGCCAACAGCCCCCGGACACCCCCCAGCCUCCCCUCCGCCACCUUUGUCUAGGUCAGGCAGCAGCUGGCAGCCAGCUCCUUGCCUUGAUGCUGCCCUCCACAGCCUGGGGGAGCCUGGCUCGACACAGCCCCUCAUCCCUCCAUGUUUUGUAAGGCUCAGCUCUUGGAGCUUAGAGGCUACCACACAGAGACCCCUGAAGGAAGUCCGUCCCCACCUGAUGACGCAGGCCUGAGAAUAAAAUACACUGGGAGACAGAACUAGGAGAGAGUGGGGCCAGGAUGCCCAAGGCCGGUGCAACCGGAACGGCCCUGGCCGGUCCCAGGCACUGACUCUUAUUGGCAAGCAAUUGGGGUAAAGCGCUGUGCUGAGCGGGCACUGUCCGCAGACCUCAAGCCCCACAGGCUCUGCCACUAAAGCACUGGCACCAGACGGCUCUUCAGAUUUGUGCCUGGCCCCAGCCCCAGAGUCACAGCCUCGGAGGCAGGGGAGCCCUGCAGUGAGGACCUCGGUGGCCCCAAGCUCAUCUGCCCUCAGCAGCCGGUUUCCAGUGCAGGCCGCACCAGCUAGACACCAGGCCAUGAUUUCACAUGGGGAACAGAGUGCAGAGAAGUCAAAUAGUACUGGAGAUCGAACUCAGGACCUUGCACAUGUGAGGUAGGCAUGCGCCACUGUAGCGCUGCGGGGUGGCCUGCCUCCCCCUGUGGGGAGAUUUGCAUCCUGGUCCCAUUUACGUCAUUCUCGGCCCCGUGAGAAAACAGGCAAGUGACACGCAUCACCUUUAAGCAGAAGCCCAAGGGCAAUCAAGGCUCUGCACGGCCCAGCUCCGGCGACCACAGCAAAGCUCCAGCCCGCCCUUCAGGAAGAUGCAGCGGCCCAAACAGUGCCCCCUCCAGUCAGGGCCGCUGAACCAGAGCUGCGGGGUCUCCGCAGGGCGACCUCGCCUGCACCCCGAGGCAGUGACCUUUGUGUUCUGCCAGGUGGGGGCUGGAGUUUGCAGCACUCGGUUCUGCCACUUAGGGUGCAAACAUGGCAUCGGAACCUCCGCCUGGCCGCGACACGUGGCGUGCGAAGAGGACACAGGGCAGAACGCAGCGGCGAAGGAGGCCGGAUCCACCCAAAAGUGCGGGACUCAGGUAGAGCUGGCACCCCUGAGGGCGUGGUCUUGAGGCCACAGUGAAAUCCUGCUGUCCACACCUGUGGUUCCGCAGCCACCACCAGAGACCCCUGGGCUGAGGCUGAGUUUGCAGCCCCUCUCAUUCCGCGAGACCGCAGUAGAGAAGGAAGUGCAGGGCACACCUCCAGGCACCGCCAUUGGCACUAGAGCGCUCACAGAGGUACUGGCAAGUUCUCUUCUCUGUCCCCCUCAGACACAGCUUUGGCCCUUCUUUUUAUGAAGAACACAAUGAGUAACACACACACACAUGCACACACGAGCACGUGUGUGUGUAGUAGGGGGACUGAACCCAGGGCCUGUGCACUAAGCUGCCUCAGACUCCUAGCGUGUGGGGUUAGAGGUGUGUGGCACCACACCUGGCACAUCUGUCACUCUAAUCUGUCUGAAGUGGUCGACCCGACGGCCCCAGGAAGUCUUGGGCGGCUCCAUCUCCUGGCAGAGGGAGCCCUGUCUUCCGCCUUUACACAGCGAGGACUCGGCAUGGUGGGAGGGCCUGGUGGAGGAGAGCUGCUCACAUCUUGGUGACCAGGAAGCAGAGAAGGGAGCACUGGGACAGCGUCACCACUCUCCUAGGGCUGCCACAGCAGAGGACCGUGAACUCUGUGGCUGAGACUCGGGGAGCAGCCUCUCCCCAGCCUCCUCCUAGCUGCCAGGAAUCCGGGGGCGAGACAGAACCUUCUGGACCCAAGAGAGAGCCUGCCCUGUGCCUCUCCUUAUGGGCACCUGAUGGCUCCUGGCCACAUGUGGCCUCCUUGGCUGGUGGACGCAUUUCCCCUGUCUCUGUCUGUUGUCACAAGGCCUUCUUCCCGUGGACAUUUAUGUGUCUGGGUCCAGAUUUCCCUCUUCUUUUUGGUGUUUUGAGGCAGGUCUCACCAUGUAGGCCAGGCUGGCCUUGAACUCACAGAGAUCCUAUUGGAUUUAGGGCUCAUCCUAAUUCAGAGUGGUCUCAACUCGGUUUCAUCCACAAAGACUUAAUUUCCCAAUAAGGCCACAUUCACAGACCUGGCAGGCCUUCAGCAUGUUUUGAGGGAAGAAAAUUCGUUUCAUGGUGUCUUCCCAAAAGAGUUAGAGACAUCAUGUUACAGUGACCCAAGGACACGGUGUUUAUAGCAGCACGACUCAUCAUAGCUAAAUCUUGGAAGCAGUCUAUAAGCUCAUCAACGGAUGAAGAAAAUGUGGUAUUUACAGACAAUGGAGUACUACUCUGCCAUAAAGAAGGAUAGACGAGUCAUUUGUAGGACAAUGGGUGCAUCUUGAGACUGGAAUGUUGUGACACAAGUCAGACACACAUGGCUGACUAAAUAUCACAUGGCUUCUCUUAUAUAAGAAACCCAGAGUAAAAAUAAAGACCAAAUAAAAAACAUGAAAGAAAGGAAGCAGGUCUUUCUCAGAGGGAAAGGGCUUCAAGAGGUG